GUGGGUGGCUCAGUGGUUAGAGCCUAGGGCUUGUGACCGAAAGGUGGUCCUGAGUUCGAAUCUCGCAAGAGGCA
rnacentral:tRNA from 1 species